rnacentral:rRNA from 1 species
CCUACGGGUGGCUGCAGUGAGGAAUAUUGGUCAAUGGACGAGAGUCUGAACCAGCCAAGUAGCGUGAAGGAUGACUGCCCUAUGGGUUGUAAACUUCUUUUAUAUGGGAAUAAAACGUUCCACGUGUGGGAUUUUGUAUGUACCAUAUGAAUAAGGAUCGGCUAACUCCGUGCCAGCAGCCGCGGUAAUACGGAGGAUCCGAGCGUUAUCCGGAUUUAUUGGGUUUAAAGGGAGCGUAGGUGGAUUGUUAAGUCAGUUGUGAAAGUUUGCGGCUCAACCGGAAAAUUGCAGUUGAAACUGGCAGUCUUGAGUACAGUAGAGGUGGGCGGAAUUCGUGGUGUAGCGGUGAAAUGCUUAGAUAUCACGAAGAACUCCGAUUGCGAAGGCAGUUCACUGGACUGCAACUGACACUGAGGCUCGAAAGUGUGGGUAUCAAACAGGAUUAGACACCCUAGUAGUC